GUUGAUGGCGUGGGACGCCUACCUCUGGAGGAGCGGUCGGGGAGCCGGGUUAAGAUUUACAGCUGAUUCCUGUGAAAUAAAGCACUUCAUUAUGCCAGGAGGAUACUUAAUUGGAGAGAGUUGUGAAGAGUUCUGCAGACUUGCUUGAAGUCUUGGCUAAAGUCCAGUAGUGGUACAGCUCAGGUAAAAUGGAGUCACAAGGGUUUAUUUCAUCCUUUGGCUCCUCCUGGAGGUAAGUACAAGGCAUUUGCUCAGGAUAUUGCUGCCCAGUAACUACACAGGUGGUGUGUGUGCCACAGGAUACACGAGUGCUGGAGGAAGGAUGUUGAGAUGUUCUGUGGUGCAGAUACUUCACCUGGACAUUGUGGCCUUUCAGGAUUUGCUGGUACUACAGCAAUGUGUGCUGUGCUUUUAUCACUUUAGGUGCAGCUCCCUCUAGUUAAAGAAGCUGAGCCACAUGCAUGCCAUCCUGCAAAAAGUCCAGUGUUCUGAGGGUGCGUCUCCUCACAAGCAGGUUCUCCUGUUAUAUCAUACUUCUCACUGAAGAAAAAGAGUGGUGGGGGUGUCAUGCUCUUUUAAUAAAAUUUGUAGCAUCAAUAGUUCCAUAUAUCUGGAGAGUUUUGAGUUACAAGUGCACCCCUUUUUAUUUCUUCCCUUAUUCUGUUUCUCCUCUAUACAGAUACCUUUGAUUAGUUGAGUUGUGGGUGAAAUAAAGGGCACUGGCACGAUGACUUCUGUCACAGCUGCUCCCCACUGUAGACUUUAUGCCUAUGCUUUUAUCUCUGCAGCUGAUACCUGGUACGGAUGGUAAAUAUUGCAGUGAAAUGGUUGGGUCAAGCUUGGUUAUCUUUUCUGUAACUCUCAGAAAUGUGCAUGUGAAAUUCUCAUCCAGGAUGGUCUGCUGGCCAAAUGACACUAUGUUCUGUUAAACUGGUUUGGAAACAAUUGGUUUGACCUGCAGUGGUUCCCUUCCCUCCCCAUCCUCCUGCAGUCAGUGCUGCUGCUCUGAGGAGGAUGCUGUGCACCCCACUUCACAGUAUGUUGUUAUUUAUAUCUUAUUUCUUUAUCUGUAGAUGCCACUGAUAUCUAAGGUAGGAAAAAAUAAAUGGCUUCAGAAACAACCCAAAUGAACAGCUGAGAUGCAAGAGAGAAGUAAAACAAGUUUUCUCUGUGUGUGUUGUUCACUUUGGUCUGUUUUGGAGGAUUUGAUACUUGCCAGUGUAUGGAUCGUGCUUGUUGGUCACAGCUUGUCAGAGAUGUUCAUGAUGAAACCUGUGUUACGUGUCUCAGACUUGGAUAAUCUGUUCACCUGAAAGUGCCAGUGUCCAAAUCUAUCCUGACCCAACAGGCCUUAAUUGCAGUGUCUGUAAGAAGCUUACAGUGCUAUUGCAGAAAUAGGUGGUAAAUAGGUGGUGUGGCUGCAUCUCUUAUGAAAAGAUAGAAGGUGACAGAUCUGAAAACCCACCUGUGGCAUUUCCUAAAUAUCAAUAUGCUCUGCUUUAAUGCUGUUAAUGAAAACCUGCUCCAGUGUCUGCGUUGUCCUCAGCUUGUGCAGCUGAGAGAUUUGUGUGUAAUUUACUAUGCUGACGUCCUGCACUGCAAUACCUAUGGGUUGUCAUUGUUACUGAAGUGAUUUUGGACGCUGUGGACUCUGGUAAGCAACCACCCUGUUUCCUGACCUGGAGAAUCAGUUGGAAGAUCCUGAAGGAGAGAUGAAGAAGUUAAUUAGGAAUGUGUGAUGACUUCACUCAAAGAAGAAAAUGCUCAGUCUAAGUUUAAUCCAAGUUCAUAUGUAGAAACCUGUGUUCGUGUCUCAGUGCUCAUUCUGACAAGUGUGCUCUUAAAGAAAUCAAGCAUUUGGAUGCUUAAAUUGAGUAUUCACUGGGUAGUAUACAAAGCCAGGCUGCAUAAGAAACACGGAUUGCAAGGUGCAGUGUACUAAUACACCAUGUCAUAAUUUUUGAGGUGUGUGGUGGUCUAGAUCUACUGUCACUGUCACAUCCAUGUCAGUGCAGCACAGAGAACUGUCGGGGUUCUUGGAAAUUAUGGUCAGGCAUGUUGUCAUUCCUGGUAUACAAAUUCACUGGACAAAAAGAUUUACAUGUGCCCUGAAACAGUGGAAUAUGGUUUCUAAGAGUGAUACCAUUUAUGCUAGUCUUGGCACAUAAAUUUUGGUUUUAGAUCCUCUUUUAGUUAUCCUGGCUGUAAGUCCCUUUGGGGGAAGGAGAGGAAGUGUCACUGACCAACUGCUUAUUUCACAGCCUGUGGGGGGAGGGUGUAAACUCUUUCAAAUGAAAGUUACUGCUCAGAUGAUAGUGGAUGAAGAAGCUGUGAUGAUGAGGGUUGGUUUAUUUUAAUUGUUUCUUAUGGAGCUGUUUGUCAAAAAGUUUCUGGAGCUGCAAGGUGGAAAGUGGGAGGAUGAGUUCAGCUAGGAAGAGCAGGUAAGUACUUUUAUAUCGUGUUACUGUUUCCAAGUAUCUUAAUGGUAAUGCUGAGAAUACAUUGUGAGCUUGGAAAAAACGGGAGAGACUGGAAGGCUUCUGUGUCUUUUUAAAAUGUUCUAAAUGUAAUUGUGGGGAGGCAACUGUUAAACCAGUAUCUGGAAGUGCCUAGUAUUUAUGCAUAGCCAAACGAGUGUAAAACAACUCUGGAAAUCAUUCUAAUGACUAAUUAUAAAGUGUUUUCCUUUUUUUUGUUUUUCAGCAAAAAGAAGAGUGCUGUAAGAGCAGUCAAGAGCCAAGUUAGGAUGGACAUGUUCUUCAGCUGAAACAUGGCAGCAGUUCAAUAGCAGUUACACAAUAGGAAAGGCUGUGCAGGCUGCUGCAAGUCCCUGUGUUCUUAAGAUCUGGAAUCUGAAAGAACUCAGUAGAGAGAAAAAGGUGGUUGCUUCCACAGCUUCAAACUCGCUGAAUUCACUCAAGCAAACUCAUUUGAAAAGAGAGCUCAUCUGAUACUGAAACAGGAAAUUGAUUUUGUUUUAGAUACUGGGGAAGAUAAUCACAAUAUGCAGAACUUGAAAGUGCUAGUCAGGAGACUGAAAAACUGCAAGUAGCUGAAGGACAGGAGACUCCAAGAUUCCAGUUGUGGGAAGCUCCCUUUUAGAAGGCACACUAGCAGUGGGGAGAACUUGCUAAACACAAGCAGAAUCAAAGGUUCUGCAGUUGUUAGCUACACAUGGAUCUAUCUCUUAAGGUGGGAUAGCCUGACAUGACCACUCAAGACCGCAAGGCAGUAGGCAGACUGCAUUUCUCUUAAAAGGACAUAUGCCACUGCCCAGUUCAGAACCACCCAAACAGCUUCAGUUUUUGUCAAACACUCCUAGUUCCUGGAACAAUAGCUUUUCUUGGUCCACCUAACUCCUCCAGAGCCAGCUGGCUGAUUGUAGCUGUGCACUGAAGAUAAGCUUUGCCCACCACUGCAUUGCUGGAUAAUGGCACACAAACAUGGCUCAGAUGGACUCAGGGCUGAGCAUAAAUCCUUUGGCAGCCACUGUUCUGGCUAUAAUAUGUACAAUGGGUGCCCUGAGCACUUCCAUGUGGAACAAGAAACACUUGGAGUGCAUGUUUAGAUGUACUUAGUGUGCACUGCCCUCUUCAGCACAAAGCUUGAUAAAAUCCCGUAUUGCAUAAAGCAGGUAGAGGUAUCCCAGAGGUUAUGGUUGGUGUGGACCUGACUCAGUUGCCACUAAUCUGGGGAAGGUCUAUUUUUGUUGUGGUGUGGUAAACCUGAGUUAGUAACUGAUACUGUUGAGCUGAUGGGCUUGUCUGUGCCAGGAGAGCAGUCCAUGAGCUGAUAAACAUUCAAGCAUGGUACUAGCUUUUACAUCUUUCAACAUAAAAAAAAAAUGUGGGAGGGGAAAGAGCAGAGGAUUUUUAAGGGGCACAUAAAUUCUACUGAAAUUAAAAGCUCACUAGGAAUAUCUUCAUUGAAAGAAUGCAUUUGGGGAAAUUACCUCCUUUGACAAGGGCAAUAUGAGCCUUUGGUUAUGGCAAGUGUCCAGCACUGUUCGUUGGCCCUUUCUUUUGUGAGGUUGUAGGGGAAGGGUUUUGGAUGAAGGGAGAGUGAAAGCCAUAACCAGAGGUUAACAUUUAAUUUUAGCAACUAUGUUUAGGUGAAGUGAUGCACCAUUACUAAUUUUCAAAGGAAGUCCCACACCUAAAUUGAUGGAAUCUCUGAUCAUGUGUGCGAGCAUCUUUGGGUUCUUCAGCUAUUUGAGUGCAAUGGUGCAAAAUUACAUGUUCCUUCCUAUAUGAUUCAGCUUAAAAUACAAGCUUGGGCAGUGAGUACCUAAGGAGCAGUAGUGUAGCCAGAACAUUCCUCGGUGCACACAAACCAUUUCCCUUCGGGUAGGUAAUGCUGCACUGUGAAAAAGCAUGCAGCUCUUAGGACACCAUCAUUUGAUUGUGUUGCCUGUGCCAGAAUUCCCUGGUUUUGCUCUCUUCCUUGCUCUGGACUCUUAACCCAAACUUCUCGUAUUUCUGUAUGUUACCACUGGUUGACUCUCAUUUUUGGGUGGUGUUUUUUUGCUGUUUAUUUGCAAAUGCCUCUUCCUGGAAAACUGGCAGCGACAGUAAGUAUCUCAGGUUCCUGGCCAAGUUUCCACUCACAUGGUUUCACUUGCUCCAUUCUGUCAAGUUAUUUACAUGUGGUGUCCUAAGGAUGUAAUUUAGUGGAUUGCUAGUGAGGAGGUAACCUUCAUGUGUUGGCUGCAGUCCACAUAGGUUAGACAAACCUGCUUCCUCCUGAAUUCAGUGGCUAUUCUUGCAGCCCUUGGUUUCCUGAUGUGCAACUUUAUGAAAAAGAUAACGUUACACUGCUCUUGCAGAGAUUUAAGUUGGUCACACUAGCAUUGCUCAUUUUACCUGCUGAGUUGCAUGACCCAGAAUGUUUUCUGAACCAUGUUCUGCAUGCACAACACCUAGGGCUCUCAAGGUGAAAAGGGUAUGUUCUUCAUGUCUUAACAGGUCUGAUGUGCCACAAAACAGGAAAGAUAGCAUCAAGAUGUGUAGUUGAUCACUUAAGCAACCUUGCUCAAGAUAGUCUUAACCCUCAUGUUCUGGUUUCAUGUGUAUUAUUUUGUUUCUAGUAGAGCCUCUUUGGGCAUGCAUUCCCAGGUGGUGUAAUUACUUCCCUGCUUUUGAGCUCUUGAAAAAUGCAGUUGCAUGAAGCAGAGGCAGCAAUGGCACUGGCAGUGUGAGGAGUUUGGUGUGACUUUCUGCCCCUGCCUUCCUGUGCUGCAGUACACCUUUCCCUUUCAUGCUAAUGCAACUACCUGGAACAGCAUAUGGAGCUACUGGUGUCUUAAUCAGGGUGUUAACACACACUCCCUGCCCUGGGUGUGUUUUUCUGUGGGUCACUGCACAUGUUUGGAGGAGGAGGUUUGUAGUUCUGUGGCUUUCUAGAACUUGAAUUAGGUUUGCAAACUGGUUUAGAGUGUUUUCACUAUGGCACAAAAAACAGGUGACUGGGUGCAUGCCAGAAGUCCAAAACUGUUGCCUUGUUGCUGAAGUCUGACUCAUUAAAUCACGCAUCUAAGGACGCUGUUAAUUUUGUGGGGGAGGAGCAGCAGUGUCCCGUGUGCAUGUGGGUGCUUUUGUUAACCAUGUUUUUCUGUGUUAGGUCUCAUGACACAUCCUUUUUGUGGUUUCGCUGUGUGUAGCCUUCUGACCAGGCGGCUCAAGCGACCAUGCUGUCUGUAAGCAGCUCUAGAGAUUGUUCAAUGUACUCCAGACAAAUCCUUGUGCAAACAGAGCUGGAGUAAGAUGUGGAACACUUUUCUCCUAAUUUAGGUGGGUUUUUUUGUUUGUUCUUUUUAUUACUGAGACUACCAAUAUAUUUUCCUUUGAUGGAACUAAUUCUUACACAUAGGGAGUUGAACAUUACCCCUGCACACAUAGCCAAAUACAAUUAUAUAUUCAAUGGCAGAGUAGAUCAGCAAAAGAGAGAAUUGGGUACUAAAAUGUUGCACAUAUGAUAGGUAAAAAGCUAAUCCCUAUUGUCAUUUUUGCAAUGCUUCUGCUUCCAGUGAAGGCUGCUGUGCUGUGAGCUCUUACUAUGCAACUACGAUUUCCUUUCUCUGUUCUGAUAAUGGUGAAUGUUGCCCUCUGAUGAGGACAAUGAGGUGACAGCUGUUUCCGAGAGACCUGCAGUGGCUUCACUGUACACGUUCUGCCUCGGUGGAUGUCAGCUAAGAGAGUAAUUGCAUCCCCCAAGAGUUAGACUUGCUGCUGUUAACCUUUCUGGAGAAACAAACAUGAAGUAGAGCCACGUGCAGUCCUCACAUGAGCUGGCAGCCAGGUGGGUGCUGUGUGUCACCAGGGAUGACAGGCAGUCACACUUCACUAACUCACAGCAGUGAGGUGCAUUUGGCCUCCUGAAAGUUCUUGCCCACUGAAAACUCUCAACUCCAGGGUAGAUUGUGACUGGAGGAAGUGCUAUCCCAGUGCUACCUCCUGGAAACAAGGGGGUGAUGAAAUGGAGUUUAUUUUAGUAAGUCCAAAGAGAAUAAAUGAAUGUUAUUCAUUAGAAAUAUUUAUAAAAUAAUUCGUAAGUAUUUUUAUAGUGUAAAUUAUUUCUAAGUACAUGUCUGGAAAUCUAGGCAUAUAUGUCUGUAUAUAAAAUGUAUAUAUUUAAAUACAUUUGUAUACAUGUUUUUAUAAUUCAUAAUUUAAGACUUAUUAAAAUACAAAUUAGUAAGUUGGGAGGAUCGUGGAAAAGGAGAGGAGCUUUUUGACAAACUCAUGGGAUGGAGAAGCUUUCCCUUCUUGAGAACAAGUAGAACACAAAUGUCUGGUCCACAGCAAAUACAGUUGGCAUGAAUUGUUUUGUUAAAACGUCUGCUCAUGUCUGUCUUUUAAACUUUUAACCUUGAGAGGGUUGAUUAACCUUGUCAUGAGUACCGAGGCAUGUGACAUGCUUGGCCAUGAAAGCAAAGAUGUGGGGGGUCUCUCACAAGUUUCUGUCAACACUUCGGUGAUGUGGCUCUCUGGGAUGGGUGGCAUUGCUGCCAUUCAUUCGGAGUGGCAUUCCAGCCUCCUUCACAUGGGUUUGAUGGUACCUCACAUAUCGCAGGCUUUUGCUAUAUUCAGUUCUCUGUUACCUGAAGUUAAAUUUAGGUACAAAUCACAUCAGCCAGGAUCUUGCUGUUGGAAUAUGUCUGCCUCACUCUUUCUGAUAUGACUGUCUCUGCUUCUUGAGUACUAUCAAUUUACCAUCUUAUUUCUCCCAAAGGAAACAUGCACCCUGAACUUCCCCUGUGCACUGGCAGUGCUUUAUGUGUGCAACCUCCAGGUAAUGUUCACCUCCAUGGAUGUAAGGGAAUAUCUAUCCCAGUCUUUGCUGAAUUUACUGCUCAGCAGUCAGUGACUUAGCAGGAAAAACAAGGCACUAUUUUGCUCAUGUCCACCAUCCACAAAUGGCCUUUGAUUUUCAUCACCAUUUUGUUUCUAGCUAACAUGUCUGCCAACACACAGUUUUUCCAAACUCCUUUUUUUUUUUUAUUUUUCUACUAUUUUCUUGUCACCCAUAAGUGGUACAUUGCACUCAAUGUUUAGUGUGUGAGAAACCCUAGGAUAAAUCCCUAUAGUAAGAAAUUUUAGCUGUGGGCAGAUGGUGAUUUUGGUGGCUGAAGAAUUCUACCUGUAGCAUCCCAUCAUUAUAAAGAAAAAAGUAAGUUUGGAGGAAAGAGCUCUCUUUGAAUCUGGCUAGGGAAAGAGAUGUAACAACACUUAAAAAGUAGACAAAAAGUGGUCUUCAUAUGCCAAGUUUCGUAUAUUUAACCUUUGCAUUUUAAAAUUUUAAUGUUGUACCUUCUAUUUCCUAAACCGAUGACACCUGAGGAAAACUGGAUCUCUGUAGCCAGUUGCUUCAAAUACUUCUAAUACAGAAGUGGUGUUUUGCAGAUGCCCAGGGAAGAUGCAGAGCUGUGGUAUUGCUGGGAACCAACCAGUCACAACUAAAAAACAGUAGUGCAAAAACUUGUCAGCAGGCUGAGCAAACCCAACCCUUCAUACAUGUUAUGUCUGCAGUGUUCUGUGUGAAAGCUAUUAUCCCUUGGAAAACUUGCUGACAUAUUUUAACAAGGAGAAUCAAAGACUUAGCUGUGCCUCUGUAGGGUUCCCCUAAUUUGUAGUGCAUUCAUAAUCAUAGUCUACUACUGCCCUCUCUUUAGUAAAGAUUAUAUUAGAAGCCAUCUGUAGGUAAAUAACUCCUUGAUACAGUUUUAACUAUUCACCCAUUUUCAUAUGCCUGGUUUUGACAUCAGCAGGUAUGUUCACAUUUCUGAGUCCAAAAUGCAAGGUAGCUUUGUAUUAUUUCUUUAGAAAACAGUAGAUGUCAUAAAAGAAGGCCUAAUUUUCAAAACAGAAACAUUACAUUUGUAUUUUAUUUAAAACAAAAUGAAUGCAUGCCGGUGGUUGUGCAAGUACAGGGUUUGUUCAGGCAGGGUUUGUGGUUUCCUAGCCCACCUGUUUUGCCUGCAGAGCAGCCAAGAGAGCACGGUUUGUGCAAUCAUAAAUCCUGUUCAUAUCUUCUCUCCUGGCAGGCUCCUAGGGACAUGGCUGUAAAGUGAAACUCGGGCUGGAUGCAGCUGUAAGGGGAGAAAGGGAAUAGCAGAGCUUCCCCUUGUAGAACCCGAGGCACCCUGCAACACAAACAGGCACAGAGAGGAGCCUACCUCGGUCCACACUGCUCCCCUCGGGUCACUGCUCAAGUCUCUAGGGUAGCUGAAUUCUACAUGGUGCUGCAAAAUGCACGUCAGGGGCGUUGAUCUCUGCUGGCUCUGAAACAGGAGAGUGCUGUAGCUGCCUUUGCUGCUGGCCCCUGUGCCCGUGGAUAUCCACCAGCAGAGGGUGGCUCAAAGACCAUUUAUGUAUUCCUGUAAUGUUUAAACACUCUACAGGGUGAAUAUUGAGCGUGGCAGCCUCAGUGCUUCCUUCAGUGCCUAAUACUUCAUCUUUAGUUAGUAAUUACAAGAAAGAAGUAUCUAGCAAAGAUUUUUGUUUCAGCCUUUCCUCUCUGAUUUGUUUUUGGUUUUUUUUCUCCUCUGACAUUAUUCUUCCAGAUAAGAAUAACCAACUACAGUUAAGUUUAGGAAGACAGGUUUGAAGUAAUGGUUUUGAUUGGGAACUACUACUGCCCAGGAUCAAGGUAUUUGAAAUAAAUAAUUGCAUAACUUGUCAGUGCUCUAGCAUUUAUUAGUGAUUGAGACAUAAGACACUAAUAGUGAAUGGAAGUAAUUUCCCUGAACUUCAAACACCUAACAGAUGCCCAGUGUGCUUGGGCUUUCCUUGCACACUGUGGAGAGCACUGCACAUAUCCCAAGAUUGAUUUCAGCACGUCUUACCCUAAUUCAAGAUCUCAGUGUGGAGAACACAGGCUAGCAGGGGCCUGAGCCCAAACAGCACUUGUGUGUGUAUAAUUAUUCUCAUGUGGAGUCCCCCUAUGUGCGACAGUUAAUGACUAGGUGGUUAAUUAUGUGAGUAGUUUAUGUAGGAAUGGGUUCAAUUCUUGUGUCUGUGUUGCAGGGAGACUAAUUUGUCUCUUGAGAUGUUUGUUCAUUGACCACAGAGGAAGCAGAGGUUAGACUAGCUCAAAGUUAGAUAUCUGACCUCCACAUCUAGCAGAGAUACAGCCCAGCCGCUGUGCCUGCAGGCUGCUGCUGCUAACCUCGGGUAAUACUCUGCUUCAUCUUUGAAGGCCUGCACACACUGAGUAGAUUUUAUAGAUCUGAUGUCACAUCUAAGGGAAUAAAGUGUAACAGUUAAGGUAAUUAGUAGACAGUUCCACAUCAGUGGAAUUCCACAUGGGACCAUGUGUGUGUGAAUAUGUAGUUCAGGCUGUUGUUGACUGGAGACCUGUUGAGAGGCUUUACAAAAUAAAAGGUAGUAGUAAAUGAUGAUGGAAAAUGUUUCAUAUUCUAAUAUAUAAUGAUUUAUGUUCUGAAUUAGAUGCUCUGUUCAGAAUUUUCCUACAUAUAUUUAAGUAGUUUUAAAAGGUUUGAACUAAAAUUCAAACAUUUCUGUUCUUGAUUUCAGUUUAUUUGCUGCUCAGAAAUUAUUUUCAAAGAGGAAUUCCUAUCCAAAGUUCUUCAAUUAAAAAACCCAAACACCUGAGUACCAGCGGUUUUGAACAGUUGCAGAAGUACAGCACAGAUGCAGCCUUAGUAUUUACUAGAGUAGGUAAAAUUCCUCUCUGUUUGCACAAAUAGAGCAACUUAGGGACCGACUCAAGCAAAAAAAUGAAGAGGCAUCUUCACAAAGGCUACAAAGAGCAGAUGACCUCUGGCUUUCUCUUCCACAGAAGACAGGCAAUACCAAAUAUGAAUAGGAUUCACUUCCUCCUUCCUGCUGAGUAGCAGGUAUCAAGCCUUUUGAACAUGUUUCCAAAAGCAUAUCCAUAGUUCAAGAAGUGUUUUAUGUAUGUAAACAUAGAGACAUGCCACAACAAUGAUUAAGGGAUUAGAGGAAAAGGGUUAGGAGGAUAAGAGAGGAUUAUUGCAGACACAAGGGUGUGUUCAUGACACCAGCAUACACUGUGGUUCUUCUGGAAGUCUCCAGUCUGCACCAGACUAUACAGAGCUUUCUGCAGGAUGUAAGCGUGCCCAGCACUUGUGCUCUGCUUGAGGUUAAGAUGGAAAAUCCUGUGUGUGAUUCCUUGCUGUAAUGACCUGUUUGUAUACAGAUGGGCUUUCAAGUUAUGGAAAUGACCUAUGACUUAUGAAAUAGCCUCUUCCUGUUUGCAAUGAUGCAGUGAAAUAUUGAGUCAUCUCUAACCCUUGAGCCUUCCCUCUACCAGCUCUUUGUUGUUUGCAACCUGUCUCAUGGGAUUUGGAUUGAUGAUACUGGACAACUCUUCUCACUUAAACUGGUCCCAGUUUUGCCAGUUUUGGAUGAAUUACUGCUCUUUCCUAGGGAAAAGAGUUGACCCACAUCACUGCUGAUUUAAAUUACAAUAACUUACUGAAAAAUUACCUGUGUAUAGUUAGGUUUAAAUUAAUGAAUUCUUGAUUUGGGGGAUUAAAUACUUGUAUUUACUGUAGGUACCUAACUCUCCUGCCACAGCGUAAUGAGUCCAGGGGCCCACAAAGUCCUGGAUUCAGAUAGAAAGUACAUACUGUAAUGCUCCACAAGAUUAUAUUUCACUGCCUUUUGGAGAGAGGCCCUAAUGCCAGUGAAAUCUCAGCAAUAUGACAUCUGACCCCUCAAGGGAUGAAAUAGGUUAGAUGCCUGAAAACAUAACACAAAAUCUUUUCUGAGGUAUUUUGUUGGGUAUUUUUAUCCUUUCUCUACAGAAUAUAGCAAAGGCUUAAGUAGAGCAGGUUGGAUGGCCCUAACUUAGAGUGGUUAAGUUUAGUUUAACUUUGACAUCUUGGCUGAAGAGCUGCAUUUCUAGUGGCUGUGCAGACUGCUGGGUGUGCUGCCAAAUAGCUGGAGAUUGCAGAGUGAUGUUGUUGUUAAUUUGUUUCUGCCAGAGAGACAUUCCUGUUCAUCUUUGGGACAGCAUCAUAAGUUCUGUUUUGGUUUGAAAAGACAGGUGUCUGCCAAGGAAGGCAGGAGACUCCCUUGAAAUGGAAAAUGUAAACCCCCUCCCUCUGAAUUAUUAUAAUUUUGAAAUUAAGGGGUUCUCAGGCAAAGAUAUGGGAAUAAGAAUAACAGUUACUAGGAAAAUUAAAAUAAAAAUGCAGUAGUUUAAAAAAAAAAGGUAGUGACAGAGUCAGAAUAUAACCUGACAUCCUGUGGGUCAGGAUGUUGGUAGCAGUCCCAUUAAAUGGUGGCUGCAGUCCUCCUGGAGUGGCAGAUGUGGUUCUGUUGAAGCAGUGAUCCUGCAGAAGGGUGCAGUUUUCCUCUGAAGGUCCAGUGGUGGUGCAGACAGGUCUAGUCUUCCUCUGGGAAUCCAGUGGGAAAAGUUUAAACCACCUGGUUUUAACAGCUGGUAACAGAAUACAUACUUGUGGUUACAUCUUGCAUUGCAGCCUAAGACAGUCACCUAUUGAUCCUGCCCAUUGCUGGACCUGGUGUGAACUCAAGGAUAAAGUAUGUGCCAAGUUAAAGCCACUGUGCCUUCCUAGAAGCAGCUCAUUUUAGCUGUUAUCCUACAAAGAAGGAGGAAAGAAGGUGGAACAAACCAAAUUACAUCUGUGGGGCAAAAGCCAACAGUUUUCCAGGUUUGAAAUGCAAUGCCGUUAGAUAUUGACAACUGACAGUUGCUUCAUCAAGGCACAGAAUUUUGCAAAGCCUUUGACAAGUUAAAUACAGAUGCAACAUGAGGCAUUUUCUUGUGCAACAUUUUUUAUGGCUAUUCUUGGUUUUCCCAGUGAGAUCUUACUUUCUUAGAGCAGAGAUUUGUCACCAGUUAAUUGAUUUCUCUGAACUUUCUGCCAAAAUCAACAAGGAAGGAAUUGGCAGGAUGGACUUUAGAAACAGGGAAGUUGUGACAUGUUUGAGGAAAAUGCAUGCUCAGAGGAGGGUCUGCUUCUCUUUCAAAAAGCAGUUUCCUAUCAGCAAAACAAGCUCACCUCUUUUCUGCAUGUAUCUUGUCUCUGCCUUGCAGCAAUGCUAUGGGGGUGCUUCAUCUUGUGAGAAGCGAAGGGAAAGAGAUUUACUAAUGAAAAACCUUGCACAUGUUUUUACAACCCCAGUCAUUGUACUGAGUUGAGCUAAGGCAUGCAUUAAAGCAAGCUGAAACUCUAAGGAUUAGAAAUCUUCGCAGUAAUGACAGGGUCUGUUUUUCUACUGACAUGCUGCAGCUUCCAUGAUAAAGGAAAGAAGUACAUAUUGGUCCAACAGUGCAGAAAAAUAUCACCCUGCUGCCUGGUCAUGGGUGAUGUGGGGCAGACAUGUCAAUGUCGUGAGAGAAAUCAACAGUGCAGAACUUGGGUGGUUGCAAACUGCCAGUUUUUAAUACUGAAAGAUCAAACUUCAAGCAGCGGAAAAUGUGAGGCAGUGCCCAGAGCAGUUCUAUCUGUCAGAAAUGUAAGUAAACACAAGUAGCCAGGAGUUCAAGAUCACUUAAAACAGAGAUUAUACCACUUCUCUCUCCAUUCUUCUCCUCACCCUUUCCUGAAACACUACAACCAAAACCAACAGCACACCAUGUCUUCCCAAGCCUCAAUAUUUACUCACACAUGAAGAACAUAUGAAGCUUUUUAAAAUUCCCUUGACAACUUGUACAAGAAAACUGUUUAGCUAUGAGUGGAAUGUCCUCUUACAAAAUGCCAAACAGCCUUGAGUUUUUUAGGCCAAAAGCUAACAAGUUGAACUGUAAGCUCUUAUUACUUGUUCUGUUCCUCUACAGUAAGAAUCUGGAGUGCUUUAAAAAUGCUAAGAGCAUGACAGUGAUUGACAAGAAAAGAAGGAAUGUAAGGACAUACUGUGCUUUUUAAAAUUUUAAUUAUUUCUGUAAAACAAAAUUGAUAGUGAUGGAGGUCCUGCAUUUGCAGUUUGAGCCAGGAGCCAGGACUGCUUUUUCAACCAUGACCCUUACACACUGCCUUCCACCCUUAUGCAGGAACACCAAAUUUGGUAAAAUCCCAGCUUAACUUUAAGGAGAGAGAUCCUAAGAAAUUAAACAGCUGCUUGAACCAUUCAUGUUUUAACUUUUUCUCAGUGAAAGCAUGUCUUAAUUUUAGUGUGUGCAGUGCAUGUGUGAGGCUCUGUCAUUUUACUGGAUGUGUGCAGUGAUGGAUCUCCAAGCAUACAGGUUUGGUUCCAGUUCACGUGAUCACUUUGUCAUUGAAUUAAGUAUGUCUGGUAUGGAGUUCAUAUGAGUUUUUAACAGUUGAUAGCUGAUAUCUAAUCUGACGUGAAGUGACAAUGGCACAGAGAGAGCAGUAGUUUUAAUCACAUUGUGUCAGUCAGAAAUCAGCAAAAUUUUAGAGCAAUUUUAACCGACAGUGUGAGUGAAAGCUGGAUCUGCACCUUGGGUAGUAGGUUAUGGUAUAUCUGGUCCUAUGCCAAGGGCCCUAAUGUUGGAUUUUUUAAGCCAUUAAGCCAUGGCCAGAGAGGAGAAGGGUGAAUUGUGUCUCUUACAGUUGCUGAAAAAGGAAAACACUGCCACUGGUAUGUUCUUCUCAGUGAAAAAGCUGUGUGAAAACUGCUGUUGGAGAUGAUUCAACCAUCAUCCAUCUGCAUAUUAAAUCUUCAAAAUACUCUGUAACUGCAUAGAGAUGGCAAAUACAAUGUGAAACUGCUAACAUGUAAAAGCAGGGAGAUUUAAGGAUGUGUUGCAAGCAUUGGUACAACUACACUUCUUGAACUGAGCUCAGGUACAGUUCUUGUCUGCUUGGAUCAUUUAACUGGCCAAAGACCAAAAUAUACCCUUAAUAUUCCACAGACACCUAUGCCCAGUAAUGACAGGAUCCUCCAGUGACAUGUUAACUGUGUCAAUAAAACAUUAGCUAAAUAGUGGCUGGGUUUUCCUGGUUAAAAGAAAACUAGACCUUCAUUAUGUUCCAAGAUGAGCUUAAAAAACCAUACUUUUUUCAUUAUGUGACCUGGUUAUCCUGGUUAUGGUGACUGGACAAUUUGGAUCCGCUAAUUUAUUGACGUCACUGAAAACACAGCCUAAAUCAUCUAAAAUAUAGAUCAUUGUUUUGUUUGUCACCAGUCUGCUGAAAUUUUCAGUGAACUAGGUAAAUGUGCUUUGUCAGAUUCUUGCGUACAUGGGACAUGAGAUGCGUUUGCUUCAUCAGCUCACGAGCUGGGUCACGGUCUGUGAGGGCAUAGAGCUCUGGGGUGAAAGCACCAGCCUCUUGCACCCAUCUCCACAGUGACUACCUGCAUGCCUUCCAUUACACAGGUUCUACAUCCCCAAUAAAGUGACCACAAGAGAUUGCUGUCUUGCAAUACUGACAAUGUAGUUGUUUUUAUACUGUAUAAACUUUAUAAAAUUUAUAUGUGUGUGCACUGUGCAUGCACUAACAUGCCUUCAUUUACCCACAUAACUCAACACAAAAUUGCCAGAUGUCUUUGGCUCUAAUGAGCACCUACCAGGGCACACAGCUGGCUUGGAACAGGACAAAGCAGGCAGUUACAGGCAUCUAACCCCACUGCCACAGGGAAAGCAGCCACAGCCUUGGGCCUCCUCCUGUAGCUUGCAGGGGGGGUACCUGCUCUCUUCGUGUUCACUGUCUGUUGUGUUCCCUGGAACACGGUGUGUAACAAAACACACAGGCUGUUGUUUUGGCACCAGGGAAGAUGCUGCCUCUGUCUUGGAUGCUGCAGCUGUGGUUGGAACCCUGGAAAGGGGGCAAGAUGCUUUGCUUCGGUGCUGUUAAGCAUGAUCAGUUGGAUGAACCACUUAAAGGAUAGGAUGGACAGAGAAUAGUGUUUGGAAGAAAAACCCUAAACUAACAAGGAGUUAAUUUAGAAACUUUCUGUUCUGCCUAACUUGAAGAGUUCUCUGUUGUUGUUGUUGGGGUUUUUUUUAAAGUAUUCCUUUAUGUUUAACAGAAUAUGAUUUCUGAAGUUAAAAGCUUUGUGUUUUGGGAUGUGUGUUUCAAGGGAAAACUGGAGGUAGAUCCGCCUCAAAGUUCUGCUGACUCCACCAGAGUGCCAAUAUAAUUAUAAAUGUUUAUUACCCCCAAAAUGAGGAGGUGCCUGCUUUAAGGUGUCUUGCAGGAUUAUAAUGUGAAUUCCUUAGUUGCCAGAGAUGCUGUUCCUCUGCCCUGUGCUUAGUGGAUUUGCACUUAGUAGAUUUGCAUGUGUACAUGACAAGAGCCAAUUGCCAAACAUAAAGAUUUGAAUGUAAACUCAUUGCUAAACUUUGGCCUGGAAGCAUCAAGUUGUUCUUCUGAGCAUUUGCACGUACAAAAGGUGAGUACAGAGGUAAAGAGCAAUAAAAGGGCAAGGCAAAAGAGAAGAACUCAUAAAGCACCUCAGCAGAGCUAACCCUGUUGGCCUGCAUCAAUGAGUCUGAGUUUUGCCCUUUUAAAUGCUUAUGCCUUUGCACACUUUGCACCAUGGGGCUCUUUAUAACAGAUGCAGAGCUUGGACAAAGCAUAUUUGCAGCUCCUCUACCUAUUUAUGAGCUGGUCUGUACACUUUGCAGUGUUUCACAUAGUGUGUGUGUAGGUAUGUACCUGCAGGCAGGUACAUAAAUAGGUACCUUUAUGCUUCCUUAUUCCUCAUGGAAGCAGCAAGGGGAAAAGGGCAAAAGGAGAAGCCAGAAUUUCUGCUAUCAGGAAGAAAAUUGAGAUAGAGAAAAUCUAAGAUUUUAUUUGAGCAACCUAGUAAUGUGUCUGCUUGCUAAUUAGUUCUGCUGUAAAUCACUAGCUCAUCAGUAUGUAUAUAUUCUGCUUAUUUGCUGUAUUUACUUAGUGACUGGAUAAUUCAAAUCUGCACAUUUAUUGACUUAACUGAAAUUGCAGCCUAAAUCAUAUGAAAUAUGGGAUAAAUACAUGUAUGGGGUAUUGUGGGAUGGUUUUAUUAUGGGACUAGACUGUGUCUCCAGACAGAAACACAUAACUUUUACCUUUGUCUACAUUUGUUUAAAAAUAUGCUAAGAUACCCAAGCAUGGUAUUGUCACAUAUAAACCCAGCUCAAAGCAAUAACUGGCUGUGACAAGGCCAGACACCCAUCCCAACUCUAUCUCAUCUGGCACAUCUCCAAAUGCUGAUUCUCAUGGUAUAUCCCAAUAUACCAGCUGCUCCCAGUACAAAGAUAACAGUUAGUUCAUUAUGGAUUGUUUAUGACCGACAAUAUUUACUGUACGUACAUUCUCAACAAACACAGUGCUGUAAAUAAAUACAGAUAUUAGGCAGUUGUAUGUUCCUAUAGCAUGCAAAUAAACUGGAGCUGGAGCUUUUGUCCUGCUAGCAACUCAGGCAAACAGAUUGUAAAAGCAGUUGAGAAUUAGCUCAGGACUUUUAUGAUGGUUGUGAAGAGAUACAUUGUAAGUACUUCUGUAAUUAUUCCAUCUAGGUCAGCUAGUGAAUUGUUUUACUGUACAGAGUUCUCAAAAUGGCUGCACUUAUUUUAGCAUUUGCUGAGGGACAGACAAGGGCUUUACACAUGGCCAGUAGGGCAAGAAGUCAUCGUGCUGAUAUCACUUUGUCUUGCAGUCCUGGGGAACGGGCAGGCAGGCACAGAUCUGCUGCAGGGCUCCUCCUUCAAGGCCAUAAUUUCUGUCCUCUCCAUGUCCCCCACACCAGUGUGCCACCAUUGCACUGAUGUGAUUGAUGGGCAGGGUCACACACCUUUGAUGAAAGAAAUGCUGAUUCAUGUGGACCUUGUGUGGGACCCCUUCGGCAGGGUCUGCAGGGAUGCUGGGACUUUAGCUCCAUCCCACCACUGCCAACCACCUUCCACCUCCUCAAAACCUUUGCAGCACAGCCAAGGGAGCUUUCCUUUUCAAUAUACUGAAGUGAUUACUCUGCUCACACAGGAUGGUUUUUCCAAGAACUGUUGCUGCUGGCAUUUGUAUGCAACUACAAAGCUCUGGUAUCCUCUGGAAAUGGAUGCAGGCAGGAUAUUCCAGCUUAGAAGUCCUCAAGAGCAGCAUAAAAUAUGUAUAAUUAUUAUGUCCUUCUGUUUAUUCUGACCCUGUACAAGAUGAAGCUAUGUGUCAUAUGCUUAAUAGUAAAUGGACUGAACAGGUUUCUCUUUAAUUCUUUUAAUCUUCUUACAAGAUACAAAAUAGGCUUAAGUCAAAAACUGUUCCUUAGUGUAAAGGGUUGAGGGGGCUGGUUGCUCGCUUGGCUGUAUUGUGAUGAUGACAGCUAGGACUGGGUUUGUCGAGCACUGAGCGCUCUCCCCAGCAGGUUUAUGCCUCCUUGCAUAAAGGUCUCCAUAACGAUUUCUAGGAGACAAUUGCAGGCCUAGCAAAGGAAGAGUCAGGAUGUAGUUAAACCUCCCAGCCCACACACAGUAACAGGAAAAUCCUGUUUGAAGAAUCAGGGAAGAGCCUUUUCUGGAUAACAAGAGAUAAUAUGCUGAUAACGCUGCAGUCUCCCCACCCUCUGUGUGGUUGUCCCGCUAGCGGAGUCCGGCCCCUUGUGGUUUGAUAUUUUUCAGGGUCUGUCCAGGGUGGGAGAGAAGAGGUUCUAGGAAGUGUAUCUGCAGUUGAGCUAGCAACAAUUGUAUUUUAAUGAACACACGGGCUUGGGAGCCCUGCAAGAAUAAUUUGUUUUCUGAUCCAUGCAUGGGUUUUCUUGUCCGGGCUGAAAAUUAGAGAGGGAAGAGAUGUGUUAGUAAGGAGAUGCACAACGUUACAGGCUAUGGAGCAUGGGAGCGGGGGAAAAAGAGAGGGAGGGUGCCGGCUUUGUCUCCGACUCAAUGGGUGUUCAUGUUCCUGGAACAUCACACCCCGCUCCUGCCUGUUAAUGUGUCCUGCUCCUCCUCGUGGGAGUUAAUGUUGCUGGAACCACAGCUGUGUUAAGUAAGCACCAUCCCAAGAUGACCAGAUUUUCUCUUCUCAAGACAAAGGCUGGAAACUUUCUGCAAUACAAUACACACAAAAAUAUUUGUCACCGCUCUGCAAAGCUGUUGUUGGGCUAGUGGUGUAAGCAGAACCCCAAAAGUGGAACCUUCAGGCAAAUGGGAGAUUUUUAGCCUAGAAUCAUAAGAGUUCUUCCCAGAAAAAUGCCCCGGGGAGCAGUAGAAAAUCCAAUUCAAUUAGAAGGUGCUUCCUUCUAAUCUAAACGAAGAGCUAAAAAGAAAGACACCAUCUACCUUAUCUAUUGAUUUUCGGAAAACAACUUCGCACCUCACUGCAAAACUGAGCAUUUUCUGAUGGACAGGGUUCUAUUGUUAAAAGAGAAAUAGGAACUUUGCUUUUAAAUAGAAAACAUCAACCAAACAAAAACCCCACAAAUAUACAUUUUUUAAAAUGUCUUGCAAAUCUCUGCCAACAUUUCAAUUUUUUUUUUUUUUACAAUAGAUAACAAAGGCAUUAGUAAUUGACAACAUCGAUUUAGAUGAAAAAAAAUCUUUUCAAACCAAUAGCAAACCUUGCACAGGUAAACAGAUUCUUGGAGAGGAAAAAAGCACUGAAAAUGUCCACCUGAGCAGGGCUUUUGCCUCACAUAACAGUUUCAUAAGCAAAGCAGCUACAACUUCUAAGGGGGUGCAAAACUGGUUGUGUAACUGUUCUCAGAACAUAUUUAUCAGUGAUUCACUGUCAGAGCAGAGUGAUGUGCACCUGCAGGCAUUCAUCUCAGGUCUGCUUCCAUAAAGACAUAAGGGAAUAGCUAUUUCUCUUCAGAGCUUGAUGUUUACACUGUCUUUUUUAUUCCCAAUUGAUUUUCACAGUGCAAAGAUCAGAUGCUCCUCUGUUAGUCAAAUCCUUGUUCGCUGUGAGCACGCAGUGGUGCAGGCUGUAAAUUCAUUAUAUAAAUCAAUUCCAGCAUUUCUAGUGGGUUACUGUAAGGCGUGUAACUUCAAUACUAUCAAUAAGAAGAAGAAUAUGAUGCCUUUGGUCUUUGGAACUAGCAAAUUAAAGACCAGCCACUUUCAGUUCCUUCAAUUUGGAGUAGCUAUACAGUUACUUGUAAGCAUUUGGAAAAUAACAAGGAGAGGUAUAGCAGCUACCAUGGAUUCAUCAGGUAUAAAUUAUCUAGUAGAAAUUUCAAUCAAAUUUAUUUUUGUGAUAGACUAACAAGACUCAUAAAUCAGCAAAAAGUUGUCAUCAGAUCAGAUAUGUGGACUUCAGUGACAUUUUUGUCAUGGUGCAUGUUCAUAAACAAACUAACUGAAACCCCUACAGGCCCAGUACAAAUUUGGUUUCAUACAGUUUCAGCACAGAAAGGUGGCUCUGUCCAAGUUGUUUCAAUGUUUCCCUAACAAUGUGGAUGAUGGAAUAAAAAAUACACGUCUGAAGUUUACAGAUAGUGCAAAACUGGGAAGGCCACAGUUAUAAUGAAGGAUGGGAUUCAAUCUCAAAACAAACGUGACAACCAGAGCAACUUUUUCAGGACUGCAACUUAAUGGGGACCAGCACAAAGUCGGACACUAAGGCAUGAACAAUCAGACACAUGCUGAGUAAGAGCUGGUGAGCAGCUGGCUUUCCCAACAGGAUGUGUGAAGUAAAAAGAAACACAACACACCUUCCAUCACCUGCCAUACUUUGCAACUGUUGUCCCUGGCAGAAAUAUCAGAUGCAUGAAUAUGGCUGGAUUAGGUCUUUUGUCUCAUGAGGAUCUGUGUGCUGGUGCUGUUUGGAGUUGAAAUCACAACCAAAAGUCUAUAGCUUUCCAGUCUCCUUAUUCCACAGAGUUGGCAGGCUAGAAAUAUUUGUAAAAAGGGACCUAGGAAAAUCAGAUGCAUUCUCCCAUGCCAACUUCAAACAUUUAUUGAGCUGGUGCAAUGCCCAGAAGCCUCAAACCCUCCCCCAGAAUAUCCCACAGCCAGAAACAGCUGUGAUGAGAAGAACAGGGGAGGCAGGAGGGGCUAUAAUUCAUCCAUGUGGCAGCUCCCAGCACAAUGAUCUGGCACCUACAAACUCCAACAGAUGCAGGUGACCACAAAAGACACGUGACAUUGUUGUGGUUUGACCUGAGAUGGCAACUAAGCCCUGUGCAGUCCCUCACUCACGCUCCUGCAUGCGUGGGAAGGGGGAGAGAAUCACAAGGGUAAAGGUGAGAAAUAUUCUGGGUUGGGAUACACACAGUUUAAUGGAUGAGGUAAAAGCUGCAGACACAAGCAAAGCAAAACCAGGAAUUCAUUCCCCAGUUCCCAUGGGCAGGCAGGUGUUCAGCCAUCCCCAAGCCAGCAGGGUUCCAUCACAGGUAAAGGUGACUUGGCAAGACAUAUGUCAUCACUCCAAGCAUUCACACUUCCUUCCUUCUUCUCCCAGCUCCAUAUGCUGAGCAUGACACCUUAUGGCACGGAAUAUCCCUUGGGUCAGCUGGGGUCAGCUGUCCUGACUGUGUCACAUCCCUGUGCACCCCCAGCCCCCUCCCUGGUGGGUGGGGUGAGGAGCAGAAAAGGCUUUGGCUCUGUGUAACCACCACUAAGGGAUAACAAAACCAACCCAGUGUUAUUAGCACUGUUUCCAGCACAAAUCCAAAACACGGCCCCCCACCAGCCACUGUCAGAAAAAUCAACUCUACUCCUGCCAAAACCAGCACACACUGAAGUGUUAAAGGACUUUAUAUCAGACCAGAGUGUAACACAAAAAAAAAAAAAAAAAAAAAAAAAAAAAAAAAAAAAAAAAAGAAGAA